CCCUUAGAGUUUGAUCCUGGCUCAGAACGAACGUUAGCGGCGCGCCUAACACAUGCAAGUCGUGCGAGAAAGGGCUUCGGCCCCGGUAAAGCGGCGCACGGGUGAGUAACACGUAGGUAACCUACCCCUUGGUGGUGGAUAACCUUCCGAAAGGAGGGCUAAUACAGCAUGAGACCACGAUGUCGUGAGACGUUGGGGUCAAAUCGGGCCUCUAUAUAUAAGCUCGAGCCGAGGGAUGGGCCUGCGGCCCAUCAGCUAGUUGGUAGGGUAAUGGCCUACCAAGGCAAAGACGGGUAGCUGGUCUGAGAGGAUGA
rnacentral:rRNA from 1 species